rnacentral:rRNA from 1 species
UACGGGGGGGGCAAGCGUUGUUCGGAAUUACGGGGCGUAAAGGGCUCGUAGGCGGCCAACUAAGUCAGACGUGAAAUCCCUCAGCUUAACUGGGGAACUGCGUCUGAUACUGGAUGGCUUGAGUUUGGGAGAGGGAUGCGGAAUUCCAGGUGUAGCGGUGAAAUGCGUAGAUAUCUGGAGGAACACCGGUGGCGAAGGCGGCAUCCUGGACCAACACUGACACUGAGGAGCGAAAGCCAGGGGAGCAAACAGG